UCCGCCCAUCUUGGCAUCCCAAAGUGCUGGGAUUACAGGCAUGAGCCACCGCGCCCAGCCAAAAGUAUAUUUAGCUGGAUUAGGUAUAGAUCUACCCAAGGAGAUUGAAGGGGGCAGUCAUACAUUUUCAUCUAAAAUCUUCUUUCUUUCCUUAAAAUCUUACAAAAUCAAAUGGGUGGCUGCUUCUACCAAACUGCCCACUCACUUCUUACUUCUCAAUUAGUUUUCUCUCUCUUUCUCCCUCAAUAAAGAUAGGGCACUAUGGAAGAUUACACCAUUUCAAACACAUUCCAAAAUGCUGUCUCAGCCCAUGCCUGGCUGUUACUGCUUUAGGAGAAUCUGAUGAACAUGUUUAAACACUCUUAGCACCCGAGGUUGUCUGUGUAUAGUUGGGGAGCAGGUGGCCCGCCUGGGUAGAAAGUUAUUACCUAUUUUCAUUUUUGCUUUGAAGGUUAAAAAGAGUCUGAUUCUAAUAAUCGAUUUACCUCUUAAAUAGGGAAAUAAGUCUGACUCCUGGGAAAAGGACAUAAAUUAACCUCUGGAAGUCAUCAGAACUUAUUAGCACAUAAAUGCUUCUGCUAAAUCUGUCACCUUUCAUUGAGCGCUCUGCCCGUCAUGGGCUGUAUUUGAGUUUUGUGGUAUGCACUUAAGAUUUUUAAGUGUGAGAGACAUUUCCUUCUUUCAGGGUGAGGCAGGGUGACCCAAGGUCUCUGAAAGGUAAAUACCAACUCCCCUGUCUCCCGAGCGAGCGAGCGAGCGACGGGCCUGUUUACAGUGUACCACCCUUGUCUGCAGGGAACAUGCUUCACAUUUUCUUCCAGGUGACGGGCUGCCUGCCAGUGACACCGCACACCUCGAGAGCUGCACAGUUUCUGCAGCAAUAUCAUUCCUCUUCGGCUCCACCCUUUCCCUUUGAGCUUUACAUUUCGUCCUUGCUCUGUGCAGUGCACCAAUCAACACAAAUUCAGGCAACCCCUCAUUUCUCCCUCCUUUGAUGACCCUGAAGCUCAUCAUCUGGCCAGCCCAUCGCAGCCCAGAGCCAUGUGUUGGGCGUGCUUCUGCCGUGGCGCUGGGAAGUCUGUCUGGGUGCUGUAUUGUUUUAUAUUUUUCUCCCUCCUUCCCAUGGCACCCUUUCUGCUGUUCCUUUCCCACCUUAAAAAUAAAUCCAAGGAUAUGAAUAGCUUGAAAUGAACUAAAUCGGUCAUUGUUAUUACAGGAAAACUUUAUACAGAAUGCAAGCAAUAAUCCGCUUAUAUACACUGCGCUCUUACACAAUAACUGAUCCUUCAUCGCUCUUCUCUGCUUGGCAAACGGAGUAGCUACCUUCUCAUUCCCACAGUAUUGUGUAAACAUGAAAAGAAGCCAGAAGAGGUUCCUUUUAUUUUGUUUUUGUUUUUUUGUUGUUUGCUGGCUUCAGGCUGGGCCCCAGCAGAGGGCGAGUGGCAGGAGGACACUUGAGUGGAUUCUGCAAAAAGCCACACAGCUUUCCUCUGAUGGAUCAAAAUGAAAGAACGUCGGUCCUGGCAGUCUUUCAGCCACAAAGCUUUGAGAAAUGGGGCUAAAUAUUAAUAAUAACUGCUUGGAUUAUAAUGAGGAAUCAAUCAAAACACAUACUGUUGAUGAAGAUGCCUUGAACACCGUGGAUGCUGUAGAAUAAGGGAUUAUGACUACAGCAAUUCUUGGCUCCCUUCUCUGUUUGUUUAAGGGUUACACAGGCUUUGUUUAAUAUCUCCGUGUCUCAGUCCUUUCGGUUGAAGCACAAGGCAUGCUUCAGCCACCUGAGAUUAACUGCUAAACCCUGCAGCAAGCCAGCAUCUCCUCCCUGCUGCCUCUCAUCCGUCAGGAUCUGCUCUGGAAAUGGGCCAGUGGUGACGUGUGGGAAUGCAGCCCUUUGUGUUUGUUUUUGGUGUUGGAUUUGGUGGCCUUGGUCACGGAUUGGCUUCCUUCUUUGAAACUGAACAUCUUCCAUGCCUUUGUGAUUGAGUGACAAAAGUUCAACCUGCACAUGCCAAAAUGAACAGCCUAGAAAACUGAUUAUGGUUUCAGGACCAGCUUUAAAAAAAAGCAACAAAACCCUUCCAGUCACCCAGAGUUCUAAACAUAAUCGGUUGGUUCCCAGAAGUACAAUAAAAGGAAGCCAGAAGUA